AAACCAGCCAAGUGGUCUGCUUAUCUGAAUGUGUUUCUGCAGAAAUGAAGAAAAGCUAAGCUGGCAAUAGUGAUGCCACGUUAUGAGCCUUAAGGACAACUGUUAAGGUCCCUGAAAAUGGCUACAAUA